GACGAACGCUGGCGGCGUGCUUAACACAUGCAAGUCGAACGGAAAGGCCCUGCUUGCAGGGUACUCGAGUGGCGAACGGGUGAGUAACACGUGGGUGAUCUGCCCUGCACUUCGGGAUAAGCCUGGUAAACUGGGUCUAAUACCGGAUAGGAGCCAUUUUUAGUGUGAUGGUUGGAAAGUUUUUUCGGUGUAGGAUGAGCUCGCUGCCUAUCAGCUUGUUGGUGGGGUAAUGGCCUACCAAGGCGGCGACGGGUAGCCGGCCUGAGAGGGUGGACGGCCACAUUGGGACUGAGAUACGGCCCAGACUCCUACGGGAGGCAGCAGUGGGGAAUAUUGCACAAUGGGCGCAAGCCUGAUGCAGCGACGCCGCGUGGGGGAUGACGGCCUUCGGGUUGUAAACUCCUUUCGCUAGGGACGAAGCUUUUUGUGACGGUACCUAGACAAGAAGCACCGGCUAACUACGUG
rnacentral:rRNA from 1 species